GACGAACGCUGGCGGCGUGCUUAACACAUGCAAGUCGAACGGAAAGGCCCUGCUUUUGUGGGGUGCUCGAGUGGCGAACGGGUGAGUAACACGUGAGUAACCUGCCCUUGACUUUGGGAUAACUUCAGGAAACUGGGGCUAAUACCGGAUAGGAGCUCCUGCUGCAUGGUGGGGGUUGGAAAGUUUCGGCGGUUGGGGAUGGAAUGGCGGCUUAUCAGCUUGUUGGUGGGGUAGUGGCUUACCAAGGCUUUGACGGGUAGCCGGCCUGGGAGGGUGACCGGCGACAUUGGGACUGAGAUACGGCCCAGACUCCUACGGUAGGCAGCAGUGGGGAAUAUUGCACAAUGGGCGGAAGCCUGAUGCAGCAACGCCGCGUGCGGGAUGACGGCCUUCGGGUUGUAAACCGCUUUCUCCUGUGACGAAGCGUGAGUGACGGUAAUGGGUAAAGAAGCACCGGCUAACUACGUG
rnacentral:rRNA from 1 species